rnacentral:rRNA from 2 species
AUUUGGAGAGGAUGCUUUUGGCGCGGCGCCGUCCGAGUUCCUUGGAACAGGACGCCACAGAGGGUGAGAGCCCCGUACGGACGGACGCCUAGCCUCUACAAAGCUCCUUCGACGAGUCGAGUAGUUUGGGAAUGCUGCUCAAAAUGGGAGGUAAAUUUCUUCUAAAGCUAAAUACCGGCCAGAGACCGAUAGCGCACAAGUAGAGUGAUCGAAAGAUGAAAAGCACUUUGAAAAGAGGGUUAAAAAGUACGUGAAAUUGUUGAAAGGGAAGCGCCUGUGACCAGACUUGCGCCCCGUGGACCACCCGGCGUUCUCGCCGGUGCACUCCGCGGGGCGCAGGCCAGCAUCGGUUUUCCUAGGGGGACAAAGGCCGCGGGAACGUAGCUCCUUCGGGAGUGUUAUAGCCCGCGGCGGCAUGCCCCUGGGGGGACCGAGGACCGCGCUUCGGCAAGGAUGCUGGCGUAAUGGUCACCAGCGACCCGUCUUGAAACACGGACCAAGGAGUCAAGCAUUGGGGCGAGUGUAUGGGUGCCAAACCCGCACGCGAAAUGAAAGUAAACGCAGGUGAGAGCUUCGGCGCAUCAUCGACCGAUCCUGAUGUCUUCGGAUGGAUUUGAGUAAGAGCCUUACCGCUUGGACCCGAAAGAUGGUGAACUAUGCCUGAAUAGGGUGAAGCCAGAGGAAACUCUGGUGGAGG